rnacentral:rRNA from 1 species
GACAGAGGGUGCAAGCGUUGUUCGGAAUUAUUGGGCGUAAAGGGCGCGUAGGCGGCUCGAUAAGUCAAAUGUGAAAGCCCUGGGCUCAACCCAGGAAGUGCAUUUGAUACUGUCGAGCUUGAGUCUCGGAGAGGGUGGUGGAAUUCCCAGUGUAGAGGUGAAAUUCGUAGAUAUUGGGAGGAACACCGGUGGCGAAGGCGGCUCACUGGCCCGAUACUGACGCUGAGGUGCGAAAGCGUGGGGAGCAAACAGG